rnacentral:rRNA from 1 species
GAUGAACGCUGGCGGCGUGCCUAAUACAUGCAAGUCGAGCGAACGGACGAGAAGCUUGCUUCUCUGAUGUUAGCGGCGGACGGGUGAGUAACACGUGGAUAACCUACCUAUAAGACUGGGAUAACUUCGGGAAACCGGAGCUAAUACCGGAUGAUAUUUUGAACCGCAUGGUUCAAAAGUGAAAGACGGUCUUGCUGUCACUUAUAGAUGGAUCCGCGCUGCAUUAACUAGUUGGUAAGGUAACGGCUUACCAAGGCAACGAUGCAUAGCCGACCUGAGAGGGUGAUCGGCCACACUGGAACUGAGACACGGUCCAGACUCCUACGGGAGGCAGCAGUAGGGAAUCUUCCGCAAUGGGCGAAAGCCUGACGGAGCAACGCCGCGUGAGUGAUGAAGGUCUUCGGAUUGUAAAACUCUGUUAUUAGGGAAGAACAUAUGUGUAAGUAACUGUGCACAUCUUGACGGUACCUAAUCAGAAAGCCACGGCUAACUACGUG